GCCUACCAAGUCAAAGAUCUUUAGUGGGAUUGAAAGAACGAUCCGCCACAUCGAAACUGAGAAAUGGUUCGAACUCAUUAAGAGGCAGCAGUAAGGAAUAUUGGACAAUGAACGAAAGUUUGAUCCAGCAAAACCACAAAACUGAAGAAGGCUUAAUGUUGUAAAGGUUGGAAAUAGAGAAGAAAAUGACAUGCUCUAUAUGAUAAGUCCUGGCUAAUAUCGUGCCAGCAGCCGCGGUGAUAAGGGCAAGCCUUGCUCUAAUUGAUUGGGCUUAAAGGGUUCCUAGGUUGUUCUAAAGGUUACUUCUGAAAGACUUAUUCUCAAAAUAAGGAAAAGUAGUAAUACCUUAGAACUAGAGUAUAAUAGAGGAAAGUAGAAUUACUAGUGUACAGGUGAAAUUGGUAAAUCCUAGUAGGAACAUCAAAGGCGAAGGCAACUUUCUGGAUUAUUACUGACACUGAAGAACGUAAGCAUAGGUAGCAACUAGGAUUAGAUACCCUAUUAGUCUAUGCCCUAAACUAUGUUUGCUAACUCUUUGAAUUACUUUUUGGAGAAUUUGGAGAGUUGAGUGAAAACGUUAAGCAAACCGCCUAGAGAGUACGAUCGCAAGAUUGAAAUUUAAAGGAAUUGACGGGAGUGAAAACAAGCAGUGGAGGAUGCGAGUUAAUUCGAUAAUACGCGAAAAAUCUUACCAAUUCUAGACAAUAAGAAAUAGUGUACUUCCUAAAGGAAUGUAGGCUUAGCUUAUGCAAGUGUUGCAUGAUUGUCGUCAGCUCGUGCUGUGAAGUGUCUGAUUAAGUUCUUCAACGAGCGCAACCCUCAUUACUUUUUGCUAAAUUUUUUGAUUUUGUUUAAUUGAAAUAAUAGAACUCAAGUAAAAAUACUUAAGAUAAUUAAGAUGAAAGAGGAUGAUGUCAAAUCUCCAUGACCUUUAUGAAUUGGGCUGUCCGCGUCCUACAAUGGUAAGAACAAAAGGCAUCGAUGGAGCGAUCCGGAGAAAAUCCUGAAAUCUUAUCUUAGUCCAGAUCGAAGAUUGCAACUCAUCUUCGUGAAGUUGGAAUUGCUAGUAAUCGUAGAUCAGAAUGCUACGGUGAAUGUGUUACUUCAUUUUGUACAUAUUGUCCAUCACACACUGAGAUUUUAGAGGACCUGAAAUUUUACGGUAACUUUUAACUUUAUGUUAAUCGAAAGAAUUAAGAGCUUGUAAAAUUAGGGCUUGCUGA
rnacentral:rRNA from 1 species